rnacentral:rRNA from 1 species
UGGGGAAUCUUCCGCAAUGGACGAAAGUCUGACGGAGCAACGCCGCGUGAGUGAUGACGGUCUUCGGAUUGUAAAGCUCUGUUAAUCGGGACGAAUGGUUUGUGUGCAAAUAGUGCAUAGACAUGACGGUACCGGAAUAGAAAGCCACGGCUAACUACGUGCCAGCAGCCGCGGUAAUACGUAGGUGGCAAGCGUUGUCCGGAAUUAUUGGGCGUAAAGGGGGCGCAGGCUGCUUCUUAAGUCUGAUGUGAAAGCCCACGGCUUAACCGUGGAAGUGCAUUGGAAACUGGGAAGCUUGAGUACAGAAGAGGAAAGUGGAACUCCAUGUGUAGCGGUGGAAUGCGUAGAUAUAUGGAAGAACACCAGUGGCGAAAGCGACUUUCUGGUCUGUCACUGACGCUGAGGCCCGAAAGCGUGGGUAGCAAACAGG